rnacentral:rRNA from 1 species
GAUGAACGCUGGCGGCGUGCCUAAUACAUGCAAGUAGAACGCUGAAGAGAGGAGCUUGCUCUUCUUGGAUGAGUUGCGAACGGGUGAGUAACGCGUAGGUAACCUGCCUUGUAGCGGGGGAUAACUAUUGGAAACGAUAGCUAAUACCGCAUAACAAUGGAUGACACAUGUCAUUUAUUUGAAAGGGGCAAUUGCUCCACUACAAGAUGGACCUGCGUUGUAUUAGCUAGUUGGUGAGGUAACGGCUCACCAAGGCGACGAUACAUAGCCGACCUGAGAGGGUGAUCGGCCACACUGGGACUGAGACACGGCCCAGACUCCUACGGGAGGCAGCAGUAGGGAAUCUUCGGCAAUGGGGGCAACCCUGACCGAGCAACGCCGCGUGAGUGAAGAAGGUUUUCGGAUCGUAAAGCUCUGUUGUAAGAGAAGAACGAGUGUGAGAGUGGAA